rnacentral:rRNA from 1 species
GACGAACGCUGGCGGCGUGCUUAACACAUGCAAGUCGAACGGAAAGGCCCGGGCUUGGUGGGGUGCUCGAGUGGCGAACGGGUGAGUAACGCGUGAGUAACCUGCCCGGGAGUGGGGGAUAACUUCAGGAAACUGGGGCUAAUACCGGAUAGGAGCACCUGCUGCAUGGUGUGGGUUGGAAAGGUUCGGCGGUUUGGGAUGGACUCGCGGCUUAUCAGCUUGUGGGUGGGGUAGUGGCUAACCAAGGCUUUGACGGGUAGCCGGCCUGAGAGGGUGACCGGCCCCAUUGGGCCUGCGAUGCCGCCCAUACUCCUACGGGAGGAAGCGGUGGGGGAUAGUGCACGAUGGGCCGCAGCAUGAUGCAGCAACGCCGCGUCCGGGAUGACGGCCUUCGGGUUGUAACCCGCUUUCGACUGUGACGAAGCCUGAGUGACGGUAAUGGGUAAAGAAGCAACGGCUAACUACGUG